rnacentral:rRNA from 1 species
UGUUUCCUACGGGGGGCAGCAGUGAGGAAUAUUGGUCAAUGGGCGGGAGCCUGAACCAGCCAAGUCGCGUGAAGGAAGAAGGUACUUAGUAUUGUAAACUUCUUUUGUCGGGGAACAAAGGCGGAGACGCGUCUCCGGAUGAGUGUACCCGAAGAAAAAGCAUCGGCUAACUCCGUGCCAGCAGCCGCGGUAAUACGGAGGAUGCGAGCGUUAUCCGGAUUUAUUGGGUUUAAAGGGUGCGUAGGCGGGCUGUUAAGUCAGCGGUCAAAUGUCGGG